rnacentral:sRNA from 2 species
UUUGAUUAUGCCGUAGACAGUAGGUGCUGAAAAGCUUAAUUUCCUACCGAGGAUACUUAUAUAUAAAGUACUUUCGCUCUGGCAUACACGCUAGAGCUUUUAUAUU